UUGCAUUGAGGGUUAAAAAAACAAAAAAAAGAAAAUUUUCAAAUAUUAUCUCUGUGAUUUCAAUUUUUUCCACUUUAACAUUCUGUAAUUUAGAGUGUAUCAAUUUAGAAUUCUAUGAUUUUUUUCUCUUUUUAUUAUCGAUUUUAUUAUUUUUUUGUUAAAUCAGUGACAAAGUUAAAAUUAAAAGGUACUAAAGUGAAUAUUCGAUAAAUCUAGGUGUGAUAUCUGAAAUUUUUUUGCAUAUAAUUUAACGAAAUAUUAACGAAAAAACUAAUGGAAAGAUAAAAAUAAAAUCAUAGAACACUAAUUUGAUACACUUUAAAUCACAGAAAACUAAAGUGAGAAAGAGCGAAAUCACAAGAGUGGUAUUUAGAGUU
rnacentral:lncRNA from 1 species